UACGGGGGGGGGCAAGCGUUGUUCGGAAUUACUGGGCGUAAAGGGCUCGUAGGUGGCCAACUAAGUCAGACGUGAAAUCCCUCGGCUUAACCGGGGAACUGCAUCUGAUACUGGAUGGCUUGAGUUCGGGAGAGGGAUGCGGAAUUCCAGGUGUAGCGGUGAAAUGCGUAGAUAUCGCUUGGAACGCCGAAGGUGAAAACAGGUUGCUGGGGAUGUGCCGACGCUGAGACACGGAAAGCCAGGGGAGCAAACGGG
rnacentral:rRNA from 1 species